GUCUUAUUGAGUAUAAUUUUAAGUCUGACCUGCCCUAUGAUUAAUUAAAUGGCUGCAGUAAAUUAACUGUACAAAGGUAGCAUAAUCAUUUGUUUUUUAAUUGAAAGCUAGAAUGAAAGGUUUGAUGAAAAAAUUUCUGUCUCUAUGAAAAUUUGUUAGAAUUUUAUUUUUAAGUGAAAAAGCUUAAAUUUAUAUUGAAGACGAGAAGACCCUAUAGAGUUUGAUAUUUAAAAAAUAAUUUAUAUAAAAGGUAAAUAUAAAUAUAUAAUUAUUAAAAUAAAUAUUUUAUUGGGGUGAUUGAAAAAUUUGUUUAACUUUUUUUUAGAUAAGAACACUAAUUUGUGAAUAAACGAUCCUAAAUUUUAGAUUUAAAGAUAAAAUUACCUUAGGGAUAACAGCGUUAUUUUUUUUAGAGUUCUUAUCGAAAAAAAAGAUUGCGACCUCGAUGUUGGAUUAAAAUUUAUUGCUGGCGCAGAAGUUAGUUAAUUAGGUCUGUUCGACCUUUAAAAUUUUACAUGAUCUGAGUUUARACCGGUGUAAG
rnacentral:rRNA from 1 species